AACCUGCGGAGGGAUCAUUACUGAGUGAGGGCUCACGCCCGACCUCCAACCCUUUGUGAACCAAACUUGUUGCUUCGGGGGCGACCCUGCCGACGACUCCGUCGCCGGGCGCCCCCGGAGGUCUUCUAAACACUGCAUCUAUGCGUCGGAGUUUAAAACAAAUUAAACAAAACUUUCAACAACGGAUCUCUUGGUUCUGGCAUCGAUGAAGAACGCAGCGAAAUGCGAUAAGUAAUGUGAAUUGCAGAAUUCAGUGAAUCAUCGAAUCUUUGAACGCACAUUGCGCCCUUUGGUAUUCCGAAGGGCAUGCCUGUUCGAGCGUCAUUUCACCACUCAAGCCUGGCUUGGUAUUGGGCGUCGCGGUGUUUCCGCGCGCCUUAAAGUCUUCCGGCUGAGCUGUCCGUCUCUAAGCGUUGUGGAUUUUUCAAUUCGCUUCGGAGUGCGGGCGGCCGCGGCCGUUAAAUCUUUAUUCAAAGGUUGACCUCGGAUCAAGUAGGGAUA
rnacentral:rRNA from 1 species